rnacentral:rRNA from 1 species
GACGAAACGGCUGGCGGCGUGCUUAAUACAUGCAAGUCGAGCGGGGUUUAUGGGGUAGCUUGCUACCGAUAAACCAAGCGGCGGACGGGUGAGUAACGCGUGGGCAACCUGCCCUCUAGCCUGGGAUAACAGUUCGAAAGGACUGCUAACACCGGAUAAGCUCACACUCGGACAUCCGAGAGUGAGAAAAGUUUACACUAGAGGAUGGGCCCGCGUCCCAUUAGCUAGUUGGUGAGGUAACGGCCCACCAAGGCGACGAUGGGUAGCCGACCUGAGAGGGUGAUCGGCCACACUGGGACUGAGACACGGCCCAGACUCCUACGGGAGGCAGCAGUAGGGAAUUUUCCGCAAUGGGCGCAAGCCUGACGGAGCAACGCCGCGUGAGGGAUGAAGGUUUUCGGAUCGUAAACCUCUGUCUUCAGGGCGAUAAUGACGGUACCUGAGGAGGAAGCCACGGCUAACUACGUG